rnacentral:SRP_RNA from 1 species
GACGGGCCUUCCCGCAUGGUGGAGCGGCCAACCGGGUCAGAUGGGGAACCAAGCAGCCCUAACUGCAAAGCCAGUGCCGGGGUCAAGGUCCGUCACC